rnacentral:rRNA from 1 species
CCUACGGGUGGCAGCAGUGGGGAAUAUUGCACAAUGGGGGAAACCCUGAUGCAGCGACGCCGCGUGAGUGAAGAAGUAUUUCGGUAUGUAAAGCUCUGUCAGCAGGGAAGAAAAUGACGGUACCUGACCAAGAAGCCCCGGCUAACUACGUGCCAGCAGCCGCGGUAAUACGUAGGGGGCAAGCGUUAUCCGGAAUCAUUGGGCGUAAAGAGUUCGUAGGUGGCACGUUAAGUCUGGUGUUAAAGGCGGAAGCUCAACUUCCGUAGGGCACUGGAUACUGGCGAGCUUGAAUGCGGUAGAGGUAAAGGGAAUUCCUGGUGUAGCGGUGAAAUGCGUAGAUAUCAGGAGGAACAUCGGUGGCGUAAGCGCUUUACUGGGCCGUAAUUGACACUGAGGAACGAAAGCCGGGGUAGCAAAUGGGAUUAGAUACCCGAGUAGUC